GAGGCGGGGAGGCGGGGAGGUAGCCGCGGUUCGUUGGCUGGUGUGGGCAUAUAACCUACUUGUAAGACAAGUUCUUGUCUGCGGGCCUCUGCCUGGCCCUAAAUAUGUGUGUUCUCGAAUCUUAGUGACCAAGUGAUCGCCAAGGCCGCAUCAGACAAGGGUGGGGUGUCGGUGCCUUUGUCUACAACGGAAGAUGGCGACGGGCAGGGUGUGAGAAAAUGGCCGCCAGGGUCACAUGUUUUGCUGAGUAUACCCACCUGAAAUGACUAGGAGAGUGAACUCCCUGAGACUAGGGGCCAUAUAUCUUCGCGCCCUCAGCAGGACCCAGCACAAGACUGGUACAAGGCACGCUUCAGCAAAUGUUUGUUAAAUGGUUCUCAGGUGGUGGUGGUGGUGGUGGUG